GACGAACGCUGGCGGCGUGCUUAACACAUGCAAGUCGAACGGAAAGGCCCUGCUUGCCGGGUGUUCGCGUGGCGAACGGGUGAGUAAAACGUGGGUGAUCUGCCCCUUACUUUGGGUUAAGCCUGGGAAACUGGGUCUAUUAUUGGAUAGAACCAUGCGGUAGGUGGGGUGGUGGAAAGAUUAGUUUCGGUAGGGGAUGAGCUCGCGGCCUAUCAGCUUGUUGGUGGGGUAAUGGCCUGCCAAGGCGUCGACGGGUAGCCGGCCUGAGAGGGUGGACGGCCACAUUGGGACUGGGAUACGGCCCAGACUCCUACGGGAGGCAGCAGUGGGGGAUAUUGCACAAUGGGCGCAAGCCUGAUGCAGCGACGCCGCGUGGGGGAUGACGGCCUUCGGGUUGUAAACUCCUUUCAGCCAUGACGAAGCCCUUGUGGUGACGGUAGUGGUAGAAGAAGCACCGGCUAACUACGUG
rnacentral:rRNA from 1 species